GACAGAGGCCCCGAGCGUUAGGCGGAAUCACUGGGCUUAAAGCGUGUGUAGGCGGGCCCGGAAGUGUCUUGUGAAAUCCCACGGCUCAACCGUGGAACUGCUGGGCAUACUGCGGGUCUUGGGCCAACUAGGGGCAGCCGGAACAAGCGGUGGAGCGGUGAAAUGCGUAGAUAUCGCUUGGAACGCCAACGGUGAAAACAGCUCGCUGGGGGUGUGCUGACGCUGAGACACGAAAGCCAGGGGAGCGAACGGG
rnacentral:rRNA from 1 species